rnacentral:sRNA from 1 species
UACUCUGCUAUAGUCUUCAAGCCAGCUUUCCUCCUCGCAUGAGGAUAUCCAUCUCUCAACUUUAUCUAAUAUUUCUUUUCUGCUCAGAGCUUCCUCCUUUGCUUUCAGUAUCUGACUAUCCAUGUCAGCAAUCAGUUCUGAAGGUUCCAUGUUCCCUGACUCAAUCAGUGCCUGUAUUUUCUCAUGGGCAACUGCUGUGUCUAAUACAACAUGAGUGCUAGCAUAAAUAUCUUCCAGUAUGGCUUGCUUCUUAAAAGCUAUUUCUUUCAUCUUGCUGUAUUUUAGCUGAUCCAACCUUUCAACCUCAGUCUGUGCCUGAAAUAUUGGGUAAUGAAGAUCAAAAUCAAACGAGAAGUAAAAAAUAUAUAUGAAGGGAUGCUGAAGGUGGUCCAAUAAAAGACCAAUUAGUAUAUUGUGUGACUCACUUGAUCAAUCACAUCAACAGCAAGUGCACCAGGAACCAUGACCUCCUCAACAGUUGCUGUUCUAUUGCACGAAACAUGAUCAAACAAGCUCCUUUCUUCCACCGGGGUGUCCAUAAGAUCCCAUAGAUCAUAGAGUUGAGUGGCAAGCUCUUGAAGCUGAAUAAACAGUAUAAAUCAUACAUGAGAUCCAGGAUAAGAAUGGCUCUUGGUUGCUAAGUAUAAAACUGAAAGAAAGAAAAUAUGAGUUACCUUCUCAAGUCUCAACCUUUUGUCCUCAUUAAGAGUACCAAUGGUCCUAUCAAGUUUUGACAGGGUUUCAUUGCUUAUGUUCUUGUGUUCGUUACCAAUAGAGUCAUCUAGACUGCUAUGGACUUGAGUUAUUGUUCUAAAAAAAUCCAUCCCAAGCACAUUGCAUAGAUCAUGUACCAUACCAACAUGCUCAAGAACCUUUUCCAGCCUACGACUCUGUGAUAUUCAUGGAAACAUAUAUUAUAGUCUCUAUGAAACCAAAAACACAGAGAUCACCAAGCAAUAUAAAUUACUUAUGAAAACCAAAUGAAACAGACAAAGUUUGUACCUUCUCUUUCUCAAGCUCUUGAAGCUGUAACUGGAACUCUCGAAGCUUCCGAACUGUCAAAUCAUCCUCAUUAAUCUGUGGUAGUGCCACUUGCUGUCCCAUCUCCAGAGUACCAGCAAUCUCACCACGUAUUUGCUCAAUUCUUGACUGUAUAUUAGCUAAUUCCUUUAUUCUCUCCUUUUUCUUCUUGCCCAAUUGUUCAAGUGUUGGAGCUAUAGCAGUUAGUUGUUCCUUGAUAGUCCGUGCUACGCGCAUAUUUACUUACACUUAUAUCUAUGGAUUUUUCACCAAGGGCAGAAGCAAGCCUAGCAAGCUCUGUCUUUGAGUAAUCCAGUGCCUGGAGAAGAAGAUCCCUUGAUUUGGUUGCCUGAUCAACUUUCCGCUUGUAGACAUCCAAACACUCCUGGUCCAGCUGAAAUAGAACCUUGUCGCGGUCCUCCUCGCUUUCACCAACUUCAUCCCAUACCGACUGAUAAUU